UUACGGAAAAUUAUUGUUUACCGCUAACACCUACAAUCAUGCUGCGAAUAUCAGACGAACAUGUUGUGAACACUUUUGAUACAAUGUUUGCGGGAUGUUCUUUUGGUGUUCACUUUUCACAUGCAAAUUAGAUUUGCCACGAAAAAGUUAACGGGUAACUAUUUGCUGCGACCAUCCUGGGAAAAGGCUGCUGCGAAUAUGUCGCAAACUAGCUGACAACCAUGACUACCAAGCAAAAUCGGGUUAAAAAUAACCCACAAAAUAGCAUGCACAGAAAAAGUGCAAAAACAACAUAUAUUCCCAGGACUGUCCGGGAGUUUCCGGUAUUAGACCCACUUUCCCAGAUGUACGGAAAACGUAAAUAUCUCCUGAAAAAUCAUUUUUCCAUAAAAGCAUAUACCAUUAGUAUGGCAGCAUCCAAAUUCCAAGCUUAUGCUUUCAUGAAUCAUUACACACUGUGGCUGACGUAAUUUAUGACUCCAGAUACCAAUAUCGAGGUCAUGCUCUGAUGACAUGCCGCAAACAGGUGUGUGUAUAGGCUAUUUUUAGACUGUGUUAAUUGGCUAGUGAUAAUGUUUACAUUAAUAUGAUAGAGAAAGGAGCUUAUUAUGUCUCCAACCACACAGUGGUGUGGGAGACAUAUUGAUUUACUCCAGUCUGUCUGUCUGUCACAAAGCUGGUCCGCACUCUAAGUCAAACAUUUCUCAUCUGAUCUUCACCAAACUUGAACAAAAUGUGUUUGACCAUAAGUCCUCGGCCAGGUUCGAUAACUAGCCAAAUCGGCUAAGGCACUUCGGAGUUAUGACCCUUGAAUUACCGAAAAUUGGCAUUUUUACUCUUGUCCGUGCUCUAAGUCAAACAUUUCUCAUCUGAUCGUCACCAAACUUGAACAAAAUGUGUUGGAACAUAAGUCCAUGGCCAAGUUCGAUGAAGAAAGGCAUGAAGAAGAAAUGCUCCGGACAAAAUAAAUCUGGAAUUUGACCUUUGACCUCCACUGUCGAUCGCCAGUGUUGCCAUUUGCGAUAAUUUUUAGAAUUUGGCACUAAAUUUUGCGAAUUGGCGAAAAUAAAUGGCGCAUAGUUUUUUGGUCAUUCAUUUUUUUUUUAGCUCACCUGAGCACGAAGUGCUCAAAGGUGAGCUUUUGUGAUCACCCUAUGUCCGUCGUCCGUCCGUCCGUCGUCAACAAUUUGACUGUUAACACUCUAGAGGUCACAUUUUUGGCCCAAUCUUAAUGAAACUUGGUCAGAAUGUUACCCUCAAUAAAGUCUUGGAUGAAUUCGAUAUUGGGUCAUCUGGGGUCAAAAACUAGGUCACUAGGUCAAAUCAAAGCAAAAGCUUGUUGACACUAGAGGUCAUAAUUUUGGCCCAAUCUUAAUGAAACUUGGUCAGAAUGUUACCCUCAAUAAAAUCUUGGACGAGUUUGAAAUUGGGUCAUCUAGGAUCAAAAACUAGGUCACAAGGUCAAAUCAAAGGAAAAGCUUGUUAACACUCUAGAGGUCACAUAUUUGGCCCAAUCUUAAUGAAACUUGGUCAGAAUGUUACCCUCAUAAAAAUCUUGGACGAGUUCGAUAUUGGGUCAUCUGGGAUCAAAAACUAGGUCACCAGGUCAAAUCAAAGGAAAAGCUUGUUAACAGUCUAGAGGUCACAUUUUUGGUCCGAUCUUAAUGAAACUUGGUCAGAGUGUUAUCCUCAAUAAAAUCUUGGACGAGUUCAGUAUUGGGUCAUCUGGGGUCAAAAACUAGAUCACCAGGUCAAAUCAAAGGAAAAGCUUGUUAACACUGUAGAGGCCACAUUUAUGAUAUAUCUUCAUGAAACUUGAUCAGAAUGUUAAUCUUAAUGAUCUCAAGGUCCAGUUUGAAUCUGGGUCAUGUAGGGUAAAAAACUAGGUCACCGGGUCAAAUCAAAGGAAAAGCUAGUAUACACUGUAGAGGCCACAUUUAUGACCGUAUCUUAAUGAAACUUGGUCAAAAUGUUAAUCUUCAUAAUCUAUAAGUCAAGUUCAAAUCUGGGUCAGGUGGGGUCAAAAACUAGGUCACCAGGUCAAAUCAAAGGAAAAGCUUGUUAGCACUGUAAAGGUCACAUUUAUGACUAUAUCUUCAUGAAACUUGGUCAGAAUGUUAAACUUGAUGAUCUUUAGGUCAGUAGGUCAGGUGAGCGAUACAGGGCCUUCACGGCCCUCUUGUUUUCCGUAAUGAUAUAAGCGGGUCUAGAAUUGGUUCUUGAUACACGUGUUUACCUAAGCGCUGGUUGUGAACAAAAUCGGUAACCGAUAUAGGCAGUGUAUUUGUAAAUGAGAAGAUAAUUGCGUAGUUUUGUGUGAACUGAUAAUUAAUCAGUUAUACAAAACAUCUGCCAGCUUGUAUAUUUGAGACCCCAGUAUAUACUGGUGGUGUAUGAUCUUAAGUUUCCAUGAAAAAUUUUGUCAUGUUGUUACUAGUCCCCUACUGGUUGAAAACCAGUUUCGGGGACUAUAGGAAUGUGCUUUUCUGUCAUUCCGUCCGUCCGUCCGCAACUUCGUGUCCGGUCCAUAACUCUGUCAUCCAUGAAGAGAUUUUAAUAUUACUUGGCACAAAUGUUCCCCAUGAUUAGACGAUGUGUCAUGCGCAAAACCUAAACCCCUAGCUCAAAGGUCAAGGUCACAAUUGGAGGUCAAAGUUCAACAGGGCUUUUUUCCUGUCCAGUCCAUAGCUCUCCCAUCCUUGAAGGGAUUUUAGUAUUACUUGGCACAAAUGUUCAAGAUGAGAUGACGUGUCAUGCGCAAAUCCCGGACCCCUAGCUCAAAGGUCAAGGUCACAGUUGGAAAUCAAAGGUCAACAGGGCUUUUUCCUGUCUGGUCCAUAACUCUCCCAUCCAGAAGGGACUUUAAUAUUACUUGGCAGAAAUGUACUUCAUAAUAAGACGAUGUGUCAUGCAUAACUUUCAGACCUCUAGCUCAAAUGUCAAGGUCACACUUAGCAGUCAAAUGUUAACAGCAUGAACAGGGUCUGUUUUGUGUCCGGUCCAUAACUCUGACAUUCAUUAAGGGAUUUUAAUAUCACUUGGCACAAAUGUUCCCAGUGAUGAGAUGAUGUGUCAUGCGCAGAUCCCUGACCCCUAGCUCAAAGGUCAAGGUAACAAUUGGGGGUCAAAGGUCAACAGAGUGUUUUUCUGUCCCGUCCAUAACUCUGUCAUCCAUGAAAGGAUUUUAAUAUUACUUUGCAGAAAUGUUCCCCAUGAUGAGUCAACAUGUCAUGCGCAAAGCCCAGACCCUUAGCUCAAAGGUCAAGGUCACGAUUUGAGGUCAAAGGUCAAUAAGGUGUUUUUCCUGUCUGAUCCUGAACUCUGUCAUCCAUCAAGGGAUUACAAUAUUACUUGGCAUAAAUGUUCCCCAUGAUGGGACGACGUGUCAUGCGCAGCACCCAGUACCCUAGUUUAAAGGUCAAGAUCACACUUUGAGAUCAAAGGUCAAGAGGAUUUUUUUCCUGUCAGGAAUAUAACUUUGUCAUGCAAAACGGGAUUUAGAUAUCAGUUGGCACAAAUAUUCCCCUGGAUGAGACAAUAUUUCUUCCGCAAAACCCAGGCUCAAGGUCUUAAUGUCAAGGUCACACUUGGAGACCAAAGGUCAGACACAAGAAAAACUUUGUCUGGAGCAUUUCUUCUUCAUGCAUGGAGGGAUUGUGAUGUAACUUGGCAAAAAUAUUCACCAACAUAAGACGGAUUGUCUUGCGCAAGAAUCAGGUGCCUAUGUCUAAGGUCAAGGUCAUAUUUAGAGGUCAAAGGUCAAAUUCAAGAAUGACUUUGUAUGGAGCAUUUCUUCUUCAUGCAUGGAGGGAUUUUGAUGUAACUUGGACUAAAUGUUCACCACCAUGAGGCACCCUUGUUUUUAGAAUUACGUCCGUCUGUUUUACUAUAAAUAGAUUUUAUUUUUUAUUACUGGCGGUAGAGAAAUAUCGAGACCACUUUUCUGGGCUACAACAUGCAUGUUACAUCCAAUUUUUAGGUGUAUUUUGACCUAACUCUACCUGGUAAAGAGUUUCUUGUGGACUUAUAUUAUAUAGAUUGUUUUGGGUUUUUAUGAUCUUACUGUGUCCGUCGUCAGUCGUCCGUCGUCGUCAACAAUUUGACUGUUAACACUCUAGAGGUCACAGUUUUGGCCCAAUCUUAAUGAAACUUGGUCAGAAUGUUACCCUCAAUAAAAUCUUGGACGAGUUUGAUAUUGGGUCAUCUGGGGUCAAAAACUAGGUCACCAGGUCAAAUCAAAGGAAAAGCUUGUUAACACUCUAGAGAUCACAAUUUUGGCCCAAUCUUAAUGAAACUUGGUCAGAAUCUUCCCCUCAAUAAAAUCUUGGACGAGAUCGAUAUUGGGUCAUCUGCCAUAAAAAAGUAGGUCACCAGGUCAAAUCAAAGAAAAAGCUUGUUAACACUCUAGAGGUCACAAUUUUGGCCCAAUCUUAAUGAAACCUGGUCAGAAUGUUACCCUCCAUAAAAUCUUGGAUAAGCUUGAUAUUGGGUCAUCCAGGGUCAAAAACUAGGUCACGAGGUCAAUUCAAACGAAAAGCUUGUUAACAUUGUAGAGACCAUAUUUAUGACUGUAUCGUCAUGCAACUUAGAUAGAAUGUUAACCUUGAUGAUCUUUAGUUCAAGUUUAAAUCUGGGUCAGGUGGGGUCAAAAACUAGGUCACCAGGUCAAAUCAAACGAAAAGCUAGUUUACACUCUAUAAGCCACACUUAUGACCAUAUCUAAAUGAAAGUUGGUCAAAAUGCCAAUCUUGAUGAUUUUUACGUCUGUUUCUUCAUAAAACUGGGUCAGAAUGUAAACCUUGAUGAUCUUUAGGUCAGUAGGUCAGGUGAGCGAUACAGGGCCUUCAUGGCCCUCUUGUUUUAGGAUUAAUUUCCCUUUGUUGUUACUAUAAAUAACUUAUAUGAAAACUUUUUUAUAAUCGGCCAAAACAAUUCAAUAUGAAAACAACUGUGGGUUUUUAUAUAUGCACAUUUUAAUCCAAGUGUGUUGUUAUAACAUAUUGUAUAUAGAGUACAAUAUUGUUUAUACAUCAUUGACAGAUAUCAGUUCAUUAUUUUAUACUGCAGUAGAGAAAAUUAGGUGCCUUCCAGUAAGGGACUUUGUAUUGCAUGGCAAUACUUCAUUCACUUGUUUCAUUAUGAAAAUGCUACCUACAUAUCAAGCAUAGAUCUGCCAUGUGAUUUUAGCAAAACAAUUGCAAAGAAAAUAAGGAAAAUAGCUCUACGGAGCAAAAAUACUGAGGACUAUUUGUAUCCGCCAUUAUGCGACUACCUUUUUUUUCAUGCCAUUUUUCUAUUUAGUGUCUGUAUGCCUUAACAAUGGGUAUGAAAACAAAAACACAAUUGGUCAAUUUUUAUCCUGGCUAAUUUCUUUAAAAUGUUCAGAAACUUUGGAAAAGUAUUAGUUGCUACCAUGUUAAUAAAAGACAGUCUGGAUUAUAGUAAUCUCAUUACAGUUUAAGUUAUACAUGUAUACUACAUUAAAUUUAGAAACUGAACUUUUCCUUUGCUUUUACUUCUACAAUUAUUUAAUACACCUGGUUAUUAUUCCUAAUGUAAAUAUUUACAAUAAUUAAUUUCCCUAUGCACACUGUAACAACCAAGUGAGAGAAAUAACAGUGACUCAGAACUUUGGCUCAAAAGUGGCUCCAACUUUUUUAAUUUUGGCGAAAAGGUUGCGACAAUUAUGAAAAACUCAGAGGAGGCCCUGAUGCUUUGAGGAAUUUUGAUGUAACUUGGAACAAAUGUGCGCAAGAACCAGGUCUCCAGGACUACGGUUAAGGUCACACAUAGAGGUCAAAGGUCUGAUACAAGAUUGACAACUGACAACUUUGUCCGGAGCAUUUCUUUUCAUGCAUUGAGGGAUUUUGAUGUAACUUGGCAUAAAUGUUUUCCAACAUGAGGCACCCUUGACUUUAAUCCCCUACCAUGAGUGAUGGGGGACCAUAGAAAAUGGUAUCCUUGGUCUGCCCUUCAGUCCUUCCAUCCUUUUGUCCAUCUGUAACAUUUCUUGUCCACCCUAUAUUUCCUAAACCCCUCCAACGAUUUUCAUGACAUUGGUCAAACAAUCACCUCACCUAGAUGAUGUGCAAACUAAUGAGUCAGCCAUGACGGCUCAAUGUCAAGGACACAGCUCUUCUCUAUAUGGCUAUUUGGAUUGGAAAGCUUUGACAAUUUUUCUCAGCUGAAACAAAGAAUAAAAAAUAGAUAGGCAACUUCAAAGGCAUAUAGAGCAAAUCUCGCCAACAUCUCAUGGCAGCUGAAUGAGAUCUCGUUUUACCGAUUUUUAAAAAUGGUAGAACAACUAAUUUUGAUGCCAACUUAGUGGAGCAAAGAAAAAGAACAAGUGCAGACAUACACAAAUACAGAUAGCUAGGACAUUACUGUACAUUACAGAAGAGAAUUUACACAUGAUCCAUAUUCCUUAUGAACGCAUUACCAAUGCAAAUCUUCACAAACUCGAAAUUAGGCAUAUAGGCGGUACAUAAGAAUACAAACAGAAGAGACAUGUUUUAAAAAGUGGAUAUAUUUUUUAAGGAGUUAUCCAAAGUGAAAUUAAACAAUAUAAUAUUAAGAAUCUUUUCACAGAUGUCAUCUAAAGAAAUGCAUUAGAAUGCACACGGGAAGAAAAUCAUUUCUAACUGUUCAUGUAAUCAAAGAAAACAUCUAAAGAAUGAACUGGGUAAACACACAGGAGAGAAAUGCUUUGAAUGUCCUUUUUGUGAAAAUGUGUGUAAUCACAGCGAUAAUAUGAAUAGACAUCAGAGAAUUCAUACCAGGGAAAAUGUUUUAAAUAUGGAGUUUAUGACCAUGCAUGUAAUGACGGCAAUAGUCUGAAGAAACGGAGAAAAUUUCUUUAAAUGUGAUGUUUGUAACAAUGCUUGUAAUCAAAGCAGUUAUCUGAAGAAACAUAGGAGAAUACAUACUUGAGAGAAAAGCUUUAAAUGUGAUGUUUGUGACUGCUUGUUAUCAAGCAGUGUUCUGAAGAGACAUAGGAGAAUGCAUACUGGAGAGAAAUGCUUUAAAUGUGAUGUUUGUGACUUUGCGUGUAAUCAGAGCAGUAAUCUGAAGAGACAUAGGAGAAUACAUACUGGAGAGAAAUGCUUUAAAUGUGAUUUUUGUGACUUUGAGUGUAAUGACAGCAGUAGUCUGAAGGCACAUAGUAGAAUACAUACAGGAGAGAAAUGCUUUAAAUGUGAGGUUUGUGACUUUGCAUGUAAUCAGAGCAGUAAUCUGAAGAGACAUAGGAGAAUACAUACUGGAGAGAAAUGCUUUGAAUGUGAUGUUUGUGACUUUGCUUGUAAUCAGAGCAGUAGUCUGAAGAGACAUAAGCGAAUACAUACUGGAGAGAAAAACUGUAAAUGUGAUGUUUGUGACUAUGCUUGUUAUCAAAGCAGUGAUCUGAAGAGACACAAAAGAAUGCAUCAUGGAGAGAAAUGCUUUAAAUGUGAUGUUUGUGACUAUGCUUGUAAUGCAGGCAGUAGUCUUAAAAAACACAGGAAAAUACAUACUUGGGAGAAAUGCUUUAAAUGUGAUCUUUGUGACUUUGCUUGUAAUGGCGGCAGUAGUCUGAAGAAACAUAGGGGAAUACAUACAGGAGAGAAAAGUUUUAAAUCUGAUGUUUGUGGACCACAGUAGUCUGAAGAGACAUAGCAGAACACAUACUGGAGAAGAAAGCUUUAAACAUUAUGUUUGUUAUUAUGCAUCAAAUCAAAGUUAUUAUGUAAUAAGAAAUAAGAGAAAACAUCCAGUGGAGAAGUGUGUGAAAGUUCUUAUGAAAACACAUAUAGCAAUACAUAUGCGAGACAAGCGCUUUAAAUGUAGUGAUUGUGAUAAUGCAUCAAAUCAAAGUUUUGCUCUGAUAAGACAUAUGAGAAUGCAAAAGCAAACAGGAGAGAAAGGCUUUAAAUGACCCGUUGUGAUUAUGCAUAUUAUAAUCAUAGUAGUCUGGCUGUACAUGUGAGAAUACAUACAGAUGAGAAAAAAUUAAAUGUAUAUUUUUUUAGCACACCAGAGCCAAAGGCUCAUGGUGAGCUUUUGUGACCGCUCAAUGUCCGUCGUGCGGCGUGCGGCCGUCAACAAUUUGUAAAAAAAUCUUUUUCUUGAAAACCACAGGGCAGAAUUACACCAAACUUCACAGGAAUGAUCCUUGGGUGCCCCCCUUUCAAAAUUGUUCAAAGAACUGAAUUCCAUGCAGAACUCUGGUUGCCAUGGCAACCGAAAGGAAAAACUUUAAAAAUCUUCUUGUCCAAAACCACAGGGCCUUGGGCUUUUAUAUAUGGUGUGUCGCAUCAUCUAGUGGUCCUCUACCAAGUUUGUUCAAAAUAUCCCCCUAGGGUCAAAUAUGGCCCCGCCCCGGGGGUCCCAAGUUUUACAUAGACUUAUAUAGGAAAAAAAGUUUAAAAAUCUUCUUCUCUGAAACCACAACACUUAGACCUUUGAUAUUUGGUUUGUAGUAUUGUCUUAUGGUCCUCAACCAAAAUUAUUCAAAUUGUACCCCUGGGGUGAAAAGAGGCCCUGCUCUGGGGGUCCCAAGUUUUAUUAGACUUAGAUAAGAAAAAACUUUAAAAAAUCUUCUUGUCUGAAACCAUAUGGCCUAGACUUUUGAUAUUUGGUAUGAUGCAUUGUCUAGUAAUCCUCUACCAAAAUUGUUUAAAUUAUGCCCAUGGGGUUAAAAGAGGUCCUGCCCUGGGGUCACUUAGUUAUUAUGUGAGUUGUUUAGGAAAAAUACUUAAAACA